AAACCAACUGGGGAUUACCUUAGUAACGGCGAGUGAAGCGGUAAAAGCUCAAAUUUGAAAUCUGGUACUUUCAGUGCCCGAGUUGUAAUUUGUAGAAUUUGUCUUUGAUUAGGUCCUUGUCUAUGUUCCUUGGAACAGGACGUCAUAGAGGGUGAGAAUCCCGUUUGGCGAGGAUACCUUUUCUCUGUAAGACUUUUUCGAAGAGUCGAGUUGUUUGGGAAUGCAGCUCAAAGUGGGUGGUAAAUUCCAUCUAAAGCUAAAUAUUGGCGAGAGACCGAUAGCGAACAAGUACAGUGAUGGAAAGAUGAAAAGAACUUUGAAAAGAGAGUGAAAAAGUACGUGAAAUUGUUGAAAGGGAAGGGCAUUUGAUCAGACAUGGUGUUUUUGCAUGCACUCGCCUCUCGUGGGCUUGGGCCUCUCAAAAUUUCACUGGGCCAACAUCAAUUCUGGCAGUAGGAUAAAUCAUUAAGAAUGUAGCUACCUCGGUAGUGUUAUAGCUUAUUGGAAUACUGCU
rnacentral:rRNA from 1 species